UUGGAGGGCAAGUCUGGUGCCCGCAGCCGCGGUAAUUCCAGCUCCAAUAGCGUAUAUUAAAGUUGUUGCAGUUAAAAAGCUCGUAGUUGAAUUUCGGGAUCAAUAUGCUGGUCGUGCCAUUGGUACGUACUAGUAUUAUUGGUUUCUUCCUUCUGAUGAAUCAUGAUGUCAUUAAGUUGAUGUCAUGGGGAAUCAGGACUGUUACUUUGAAAAAUUAGAGUGUUUAAAGCAGGCUCGCGCUUGAAUACAUUAGCAUGGAAUAAUGAAAUAGGACGUUUGAUUCUAUUUUGUUGGUUUCUAGGAUUGACGUAAUGAUUAAUAGGGAUAGUUGGGGGCAUUAGUAUUCAAUUGUCAGAGGUGAAAUUCUUGGAUUUAUUGAAGACUAACUACUGCGAAAGCAUUUGCCAAGGAUGUUUUCAUUAAUCAAGAACGAAAGUUAGGGAUCGAAGA
rnacentral:rRNA from 1 species